GUGCAACAUAAUUAUGGGGUGUAGUGUAAGAAAAUGUGGUGGGAUGUGUUGGGUGCUGUUUUUUGAGGAAGUUACCAAGGUGUGGGGAGACAUAUGGGAGUGGUCUGUAAUGAAAGGUGGGGAUACAGGAUAGGAAUUGUGGUGGAGUGUGGGUUAGUCAGUCCAGACCAAUGGCACGGGCGAGG